rnacentral:rRNA from 1 species
AGUGAACGCUGGCGGUGUGCCUAACACAUGCAAGUCGAGCGAACGCACGGUAAGAGCUCGCUCUUGCGGUUGGCGAGUGACGGGCGGGUAAGGCAUACAUCAGCUUCUACUUAUUCGGGGGGAACAACGUAGGGCCACAUCCGAUAAUACCGCAUACUUCCUACGGGAGAAAUCAAAGGAUCUUCGCACUUUUCGUGUUUCUAUGAGCUGAUGUCGCGUUGCAUUAGCUAGUGGGUAAGGUAACGGCCUGCCAAGGCAACGAUGCAGAGCCGAUCUGAGAGGGUGAUCAGCCACACUGGAACUGAGACACGGUCCAGACUCCUACGGGAGGCAGCAGUGGGGAAUAUUGGACAAUGGGCGCAAGCCUGAUCGAGCCAUACCGCGUGGGUGAAGAAGGUCUUCGGGUUGUAAAGCCCUUUUAUUAGGAAAGAAAAGCAGUAUGUUAAUACCCCCCCAUUUUGACGGUACCCAAAGAGAAAGCACCGGCUAACUACGUG